rnacentral:misc_RNA from 1 species
GAUGAAGAACGUAGCGAAAUGCGAUAAGUAGUGUGAAUUGCAGAAUUCAGUGAAUCAUCGAAUCUUUGAACGCACAUUGCGCCCCUCGGUAUUCCGUGGGGCAUGCCUGUUCGAGCGUCAUCUACACCCUCAAGCUCUGCUUGGUGUUGGGCGUCUGUCCCGCCUCCGCGCGUGGACUCGCCCCAAAUUCAUUGGCAGCGGUCCUUGCCUCCUCUCGCGCAGCACAUUGCGCUUCUCGAGGGGCUACGGCUCGCGUCCAACAAGCACAUUUACCGUCUUUGACCUCGGAUCAGGUAGGGAUACCCGCGGAACUUAAGCAUAUCAAUAAGCGGAGGA